AGCAGCCGCGGUAAUUCCAGCUCCAAUAGCGUAUAUUAAAGUUGUUGCAGUUAAAAAGCUCGUAGUUGAAUUUCGGGAUCAAUUUAUCGGUCGUGCCUACGGUAUGAACUGGUACAAUUGGUUUCUCCCUUCUGACGAAGCAUGAUGCCAUUAAUUUGGUGUCGUGGGGAAUCAGGACUGUUACUUUGAAAAAUUAGAGUGUUUAAAGCAAGCAUUAGCUUGAAUACAUUAGCAUGGAAUAAUGAAAUAGGACGUUUGAUCCUAUUUCGUUGGUUUCUAGGAUCGACGUAAUGAUUAAUAGGGAUAGUUGGGGGCAUUAGUAUUCAAUUGUCAGAGGUGAAAUUCUUGGAUUUAUUGAAGACUAACUACUGCGAAAGCAUUUGCCAAGGAUGUUUUCAUUAAUCAAGAACGAAAGUUAGGGGAUCGAAGACGAUCAGAUACCGUCGUAGU
rnacentral:rRNA from 1 species